GGACGAAUGGUGCUAAAAUACAUGGGUGUCGCUAUACGUAACCGAAACUUUUUGGUGUUAGCACUUUCUGCGCUCCGAUCAACGCGUAGCAUAGCAAUGGCAGCAUCGACCGCUUCACGUUUCUUCUCUCUCCCCCACCCCCCUUUCCUUCACAAACCCAUCAUUCCUCUGCAAACAAAACCUCUUCGAUCGCUGCUUCUUCAGUCUACCCCCUCUCAAAUUCCGAACUAGAUAGAAACAAUGAGCUCUUUCUUUCGUGGGAACCAUGCUGACAUCGAGAAAAGAUUCUUCCAACUUCUCCCCGACAAGCGAUCAGCGGUGUUCUACUUUAGUUUCAUGGGUGUGUCCAAUUAAUUCCCCAUUCGUUUUCUUGGCAAGAUAAUUGACUACUAUCUAAUGUGGUUCUGUGCAGUUAUUUUCCUGUUCAUGAUUGAGCAAUUUGCGCCGAAUAUGCUGGUCUUUGUGAUAGUGUGUAUCUUGUUGAUUCCUGUCAUAAUUUGGAUGUAUUCCAGUUGUCAGCGAGGCCGAGGUGAAGCUCCUGCGGUAUCAGGAAAUGAACCGAGGGGGCAAAUGAGAGCACACCUACCGGAUAUUAGAACACAACUUGCUCUUCUCGAUCGUGGAUUUGAUGAUCGAGAAGAUGAUGUGCUGAGGAUGAUGAUAUAGCACCAGGGGUUCCAACAAUGCGUGAGGAGGACAUGAGUGUUCUUCCUGUUCAUGAACACAUAGGUCAAAUGCGUAGACGAUGAUACAACAUAUAGUUCAAGUACAUUCCUGAAGUGUGAAUCCAUGUUCAACCGCACAUAUCCCAGGAUACUAGAUGGACUUCGUACUAAGCUUGCUGCAUAGGAAAUA